CACGUAGGGUGCGAGCGUUGUCCGGAAUUAUUGGGCGUAAAGAGCUCGUAGGCGGUGUGUCGCGUCGGCCGUGAAAACCUGCAGCUUAACUGUGGGCUUGCGGUCGAUACGGGCAUCACUGGAGUUCGGCAGGGGAGACUGGAAUUCCUGGUGUAGCGGUGAAAUGCGCAGAUAUCAGGAGGAACACCGGUGGCGAAGGCGGGUCUCUGGGCCGAUACUGACGCUGAGGCACGAAAGCCAGGGGAGCGAACGGG
rnacentral:rRNA from 1 species